rnacentral:rRNA from 1 species
CCUACGGGCGGCAGCAGUGAGGAAUAUUGGUCAAUGGACGAGAGUCUGAACCAGCCAAGUAGCGUGAAGGAUGACUGCCCUAUGGGUUGUAAACUUCUUUUAUAUGGGAAUAAAAUGUUCCACGUGUGGGAUUUUGUAUGUACCAUAUGAAUAAGGAUCGGCUAACUCCGUGCCAGCAGCCGCGGUAAUACGGAGGAUCCGAGCGUUAUCCGGAUUUAUUGGGUUUAAAGGGAGCGUAGGUGGAUUGUUAAGUCAGUUGUGAAAGUUUGCGGCUCAACCGGAAAAUUGCAGUUGAAACUGGCAGUCUUGAGUGCAGUAGAGGUGGGCGGAAUGCGUGGUGUAGCGGUGAAAUGCUUAGAUAUCACGAAGAACUCCGGUUGCGAAGGCAGUUCACUGGACGGCAACUGACACUGAGGCUCGAAAGUGUGGGUAUCAAACAGGAUUAGAUACCCGAGUAGUC